ACACUGAAACCAAAUUUGAUGGGUCGUUGACACAGACGCCUAUAGAUAAUUACGAUACAGUUAGUCACGCACUUGUCGUUCUCCAACGAUAUAAUGCGAUCAAACCAGACUGACUGUAGCUGUCACCAGCCGUCAUGUGGAAACCGGGAAGGCCCCUCCUUUCGGUAACGUGUCCUCUCCUAUCGAUCCGAACUCACACGGAGCAUGGCUUGAAGCGAUAUAGCCCCAGUCAUGCAGAGGCAAAACGAAAGCGAUGAGAUCCAGCAGUGACGGAAGUUUCAUUCCAAUGGACUAUGAUCGUUUCAAUGACAUAAAGUCAAUAAAGCUUCGAGACAAAAAAAACAACUGACCGCCAGGCAUGAUUCGCGUGGAAAAUCAAUAGUAAAACAUGAAUUUCCAUUUGUCCAUCUUGAAGCGAGUUUGCAGUGACGGCAUCGGUCUGCAUGUGACUAUGGCUCAAAAAUGACCAAUGCAUCGUCUUGGUACUUCUGUUUUGAUGCUUAUUAUACUACCUCUUGCGUUUUCCUGUGAAAGUGGCCACAAUAAAAACCAGAUCACCAAGGAUUACCGCAAUAUCAUUAGGAUACAACUGAAGCACGUUGAGGCUAUUAUUGAACCACUCCAUUCAAACUGCACAGUAAGAAAUGUCAGCAUGUCGAAGGAGCCAAAAAAUACACAGUCCAUCCACAGAAAAAUCUGCAGGGUUAACGGAAAACUGAGCAGAAUCGAGAGGGAGUCAGAUAAUGUAAACGGACAACUGAAAGUUGUGUUAUAUAAACUUGUGGAAGAAAUAAAUGAGUCCUUGAGAUGUUGGUGCCAUGGAAAGAGAGAGGGGACAAAUAAGCCAAAACAGCAAAUACGAAAGUGGAAGCCUUGCAGGGUGAAAGACAUUCUCGCCAACUUACAGAGACACUUUGAACAAUACAAUGCGUAUCUGUCACUCAGCACAGACCUUCCAGAGCGUGGGAAGACUUCAGAGCAAACCGGUAUAUAAUACUUGGCCUCCAUCCAUCUCAUAGCUCUAUUACAACAAAUUAAUGUACAGAAUAUGAAGAAGUAACUGGACGCACCAUGUGUUAUUCACACUAUUCAGUAUUUGACUGAAAAAAAACUUUGUGGCAAAAUAUGUGCUAACUAUAAGCAUACUACUUAUGCAUGAAAAUGUUUCCAAACUUUGUACUUCGGAUUGUUAUCUUUGAAUACGAAGGUGCAGCAAAUGGAACUCAAACUAAAAAGUUGGUUUCAAAGCCUAUAUUAUAUACAUUUUCUAGGCCUCAAGUUACGACUUUGUUUCACAUGCUUCUUUUUUUGGGAAGUGACCUUAUCCAAGUCUUACACGUUUUCUUAAAGCCUUACAGUAAAGCCAAAGAUUACGCUCUCACUGUGUUUUUCAAACUUUUUUUGGUAAAAAAUUUAACUGAAUGUGUUCCAAACACAUUAACUGAGUUCAGUUAAUGCUUUUAUUAUGUUUUGUAAAUUGUCAGUAGAGCUGUUUCUUAAAAAUCCUCUUACGGAGUGAUAUUUUUAGUUUAUAAUUAUUAAACCUUGACUUAAGGAGCUACUGAAAUGGUUCUAUUUAACAUGGUUGAUAACAAUUUGUACUGUUCUACUGCAUCUAUCUUUGUGAGCAACACUUGCCAAGAAAUUCCUUGCCUUUUUCUUUUACCAUCUUUAUUUAUCUUUAGUCUUAAACAGCAUUUUAAUGCAACAUCUACAUGGACUUACAUACAUUUGCUGUAAACAAGCUGCCUGUCAUUCUUAUAUAUAUA